rnacentral:rRNA from 1 species
UACGAAGGGGGCUAGCGUUGUUCGGAAUUAUUGGGCGUAAAGGGAGCGUAGGCGGUUCGGCAAGUCUCUAGUGAAAUCUCUGGGCUCAACCUAGAGCCUGCAGGCGAAACUGCCGUGCUUGAGGGUGGGAGAGGUGCGUGGAAUUCCCGGUGUAGCGGUGAAACGCGUAGAUAUCGGGAGGAACACCUGUGGCGAAAGCGGCGCACUGGACCACAUCUGACGCUGAGGCGCGAAAGCUAGGGGAGCAAACAGG